rnacentral:rRNA from 1 species
GACGAACGCUGGCGGCGUGCUUAACACAUGCAAGUCGAACGGAAAGGCCCUGCUUUUGUGGGGUGCUCGAGUGGCGAACGGGUGAGUAACACGUGAGUAACCUGCCCUUGACUUUGGGAUAACUUCAGGAAACUGGGGCUAAUACCGGAUAGGAGCUCCUGCUGCAUGGUGUGGGUUGGAAAGUUUCGGCGGUUGGGGAUGGACUCGCGGCUUAUCAGCUUGUUGGUGGGGUAGUGGCUUACCAAGGCUUUGACGGGUAGCCGGCCUGAGAGGGUGACCGGCAACAUUGGGACUGAGAUACGGCCCAGACUCCUACGGGAGGCAGCAGGGGGGAAUAUUGCAGAAUGGGCGGAAGCCUGAUGCAGCAACGCCGCGUGCGGGAUGACGGCCUUCGGGUUGUAAACCGCUUUCGCCUGUGACGAAGCGUGAGUGACGGUAAUGGGUAAAGAAGCACCGGCUAACUACGUG